UUUUUUUUAGAGAUUUAUUGAUCAGUGCUAGUAUAAAAAAAAAAAAAAUUUUAAAUAAAAAAUUAAGUCUAGAGGUACAUAAUGCCAAUGCAAAGUGUUCGGAUACACGAAUUACCACACUUGAUAUAAAUGGUUAUUUUUAUCUCGUGGUUAUUUUUAAAUCAGUAUGUACAUACAUACAUAUAAAGUCUAUAAUGAUAAUAGUGUGUAUCCGUCGAAAUCUGAAGUCAUACGAAUAGAGACCUAAACAAUUUCUGUUUCUAAUGCUUUUGUUUCAAUUAUAAGGGAUAUGACCUAUACUCAGAGAACGUUUAAAUAUAUUUAAUGUUCUCUGACAGACCUGACUAAUGGUUCAAAUUUUGACCUCAGUCAGUGUCAGAGCACUAUUACGUGGAAGGCUGUCAGCAAAGUGCCGAGAAUUUGUAAUGCCUUUCCGAUUUCAUAAACAAAUAUCUCAAAAAUAAUGAAAAAUAAUUGCCAUUCGGCAUGAGUCAACAGAAAAUACUGAGUUUUCACAGCUUUACACAUCAUAAAUUAUUGUUUAAAAGUCUGCUACAGAAAACAGAGACGAAAAUUUGGCAAAUGUUGCAUAAAUACGUGGCGCGUUCCAUAUUAUCUGCGGUUCAGCCGCAAGCAAUGCGAAACGGAAUAUUUAAGCGCGCAUAUGAGGCCACUAGAGCUGGUCCACCAAAAUACCCAAUAAGCAAUCUUGAUUUCAUUCUACUCGGUGGAGGUUUCAUCUUUACCAUCUGCAUAAUGCCAAUCUGGGGCUUAAAGCAGGUACCGAAAUGGUCGGAAAUUCACAAUUCAUCAUAAAAUAUAUGUAUAUUUGUAUUAGAAAUCGGUACUUAAUAAAUGGAAGUAUUGAAAAGU